rnacentral:rRNA from 1 species
GACGAACCGUGCGAACGUUGUUCGGAAUCACUGGGCUUAAAGGGCGCGUAGGCGGCCUGCCAAGUCAGGGGUGAAAGCCCUCAGCUCAACUGAGGAAGUGCGCCCGAAACUGCAGAGCUUGAGUGCCGGAGAGGGUGGCGGAGUUCCCCAAGUAGAGGUGAAAUUCGUAGAUAUUCGGAAGAACACCAGUGGCGAAGGCGGCUCACUGGCCCGGUACUGACGCUGAGGUGCGAAAGCGUGGGGAGCAAACAGG